AUUGAACGCUGGCGGCAGGCCUUACACAUGCAAGUCGAACGAGUGGCGGACGGGUGAGUAAUGACUGGGAAACUGCCUGAUGGAGAGGGAUAACUACUGGAAACGGUAGCUAAUACCGCAUACCAUCAGAGGUGCCCAGAUGGGAUUAGCGAGGUGGUGGGGUAACGGCUCACAAAGGUGACGAGCCGUAGCUGGUUGGAGAGGAUGACCAGCCACACUGGAACUGAGACACGGCCCAGACUCCUACGGGAGGCAGCAGUGGGGAAUUUUGCACAAUGUGCGCAAGCCUGAUGCAGCCAUGCCGCGUGUGUGAAGAAGGCCUUCGGGUUGUAAAGUACUUUUGGCGGGGAGGCGUUACCCGCAGAAGAAGCACCGGCUAACUCCGUGCCAGCAGCCGCGGUAAUUC
rnacentral:rRNA from 1 species